rnacentral:rRNA from 1 species
GACGAACGCUGGCGGCGUGCCUAACACAUGCAAGUUGAGCGACGAACCAGGGCUUGUCCUGGGGCAAAGCAGCGAACGGGUGAGUAACACGUGGGUAACCUACCCCGAUAACCGGGACAACCCGAGGAAACUCGGGCUAAUACCGGAUGUGCUCACUGGACUUCGGUUCAGUGCGUAAAGGAAGCUUCGGCCUCCGUAUCGGGAGGGGCCCGCGGCCCAUUAGUUUGUUGGUGAGGUAACGGCUCACCAAGACCGCGAUGGGUAGCUGGUCUGAGAGGACGAUCAGCCACACUGGGACUGAGACACGGCCCAGACUCCUACGGGAGGCAGCAGUGGGGAAUCUUGCGCAAUGCGCGAAAGCGUGACGCAGCAACGCCGCGUGGGGGAAGAAGGCCUUCGGGUUGUAAACCCCUUUCAGGAGGGACGAAGGUUCGGCGGUGAAUAGCCGUCCGGACUGACGGUACCUCCACAAGAAGCCCCGGCUAACUACGUG